UACGUAGGGUGCAAGCGUUGUCCGGAAUUAUUGGGCGUAAAGAGCUCGUAGGCGGUCUGUCGCGUCUGCUGUGAAAACUCAGGGCUUAACUCUGAGCUUGCAGUGGGUACGGGCAGACUAGAGUGCGGUAGGGGAGACUGGAAUUCCUGGUGUAGCGGUGAAAUGCGCAGAUAUCUGGAGGAACACCGGUGGCGAAGGCGGCAUCCUGGACCAACACUGACACUGAGGAGCGAAAGCCAGGGGAGCAAACGGG
rnacentral:rRNA from 1 species